GUCCCUGUAGCGCAAUGGAUUGUGUGUUGAAAUUCUAAUUCAAAGGACAUGGGUUCAAAUCCCACCUGGGAUG